CGUCGUCUGCAAACGCGAGGAAUAUUUAGUUGUGUAAGGAUGGCUGAGAAAUAUCUCCCUCACUACGCAGAAGGUGAAGUGGUCAAAGGAUUUGGUCGUGGCAGCAAGGAGCUCGGUAUUCCAACAGCCAACUUCCCCGAGAAUGUUGUGGAGAAGCUUCCGGCAGAUAUGCCCACUGGCGUCUACUACGGCUGGGCCAACGUUGACGGUGGAGAAGUACACAAGAUGUGUAUGAGUGUGGGCUGGAACCCAUACUACAAGAACACCAAGAAGACAAUGGAAACUCACAUAAUGCACAAGUUCCAGGAUGAUUUUUAUGGAUCAAGGCUGAAGAUUGUAAUGGUUGGCUACAUCCGCCCCAUGUCAACAUUUGUUUCUCUAGAUGAAUUGAUAACGGCAAUAAAAAACGAUAUAUCAGAAACGGACAGAAAGCUACAAGAGCCCGAGACGCAGCACUAUAAAGACAACAACUUCUUCGCGUCGUCUUGAUGAUGGCUUCCUGUAGACAUCUCACACAGUAGUCUCAUUAAAUCAGAACAGCCUCUAUGUAUCACUGCAUGAACAUUAUCAAACCAUCCACUGUAGGCCAUUUCCUGUCUAUUACAGUUUGUUUCUUGGUCAUUAUGAUUUGGAAACUUGGCUUUAAGAAACAAACCCCUGAUAUGAUUUUAACUGCAUAAUCCUUUUGUUAGAGAUGGUUGGUACUACUCGGAAAUAAUAAGUGAUGUACUCAGUAUCCACCACAAUGUUAGUGGUAGUGCCUUUUUUUUUCAUUUGGAACUGUCCUUUUAUAUUUGUUUUUGAGAUAUGAAAAUCAGACAUGGUGGUCUGACAGCUUUGUUUGCUUGUUACAAGAUUCAAAAAACUUUGGCUGAUUAGAAUGAUAUGCUCUGGUGGGACAGUUUUUCAAAUUUUCAUGUGGAGGUACAUUUCAUCCGAGUGAAAGAGUUACCCAGAGCAUUGCAUUUUGGCAACCUGGAUAUUAUGUUUUACUAUGUUGUUAGUGAAGAAAUGCUAAAGACUUAUGGAUUUCAAAAGGUAAAGUCAGUAUUUCAUGUGAGUGCUAUCCCCUGUAUGCCAAGUCAACCUUCAGUGGGCAUCAAUAAGGCUGAUAUUAGUAGCAAGCGAUAUUCGGAACAUUUGGCUUUUUGUGCCUAAUAACAAUUUUAUCUCAUUUUGUCAUAACUGGUAACAUUUCUUUCCAAAAUGUUUGAUUUCAGAUUUUGUCUGAAAAACUGUACAAUUGUAACUGAUUAGCCACGACUGUACAGGUGUAACUGAUUUAUCCGCGACUGUACAGGUGUAACUGAUUUAUCAGCGACUGUACAGGUGUAACUCAUUUGUCCCCAACUGUUCAGGUAUCCGGUAGCUGAUUAGCCGAAAACUGCACAGGUGUAAAUGAUUUGUCCACAACUGUACAGGUGUAACUGAUUUGUCAACUGUACAGGUGUACCAGGUAACUGAUGAGCCGAAAACUGUACAGGUGUAACUGAUUAGUCACGACUGUACAGUUGUAACUGGUUAAAUAUGACUGUACAGGUGUAACUGAUUAAAUAUGAUUGUACAGGUGUAACUGAUUUGUCAACAACUGUACAGGUGUACCAGGUAACUGAUGAGCCAAAAACUGUACAAGUGUAACUGAUUAGUCACGACUGUACAGUUGUAACUGAUUAAAUACGACUGUACAGGUGUAACUGAUUUGUCCACAACUGUACAGUUGUACCUGGUAACAGAUUAGCCACAACCGUACAGGUGUAACUGAUUUAGCAAUGCAUGUUGUGCUCAGUCUUCCACUUGUCAACAUUGUGCCCAAGAAUGUGUGUGAUCUUAUACAGCAGAAUCUCUAUGAAUUUGAACUGACAAAAAUUGUUUGGUUUUGUGCUUUUGGAUGAUCGGGUUUGAUUUCAAGCAUGCAAAAGUGCAACCUAUUAUUGAAAAAAGCUGCCAGAUAUUUAUGUCAGCUUGAAUUUAAGUGCAUUUAAUAUAAUUCAAGAUGCCAAGCAUCUCUUUAGUAUAUGAAAAUACUGAUCUCAAAGGUAAUACAGGUAUGCAGGCUGAAAAAGUUCAAUUGAAUGAAGGUCUGUUCAUUAUUACAGGUAUGUAUGCAGACUAGGAUCAGAUGUAUCAUUACGUUGUUUGAUAUGUUGUCAUUAUGUUGGGUAAGUAAGCCCAUUACAUGAACUCAAAUGACAGUAAGUCAACUGACCAAGGUGUUAAACCUAUUACAGAUAGAAAUUUCAAUGAAAUGAAGUAAAAAAAGUUUCAGUGAAUUUUCACUCGAGUGGAAAUGUCAAUCUUAAUAACAUUCACCUUAUAAUUUAAUUGAUUCAAUUCAGAUAACCAUUAUUUUCAUUCCCAACAGGACAUACGUGUAAACAUUUGCAACCAUUAUCAAGUUGUUAGCAUUUUGGACACAACAUGUUGCAAUUCAUUACAGACUGUUGAUAUUAUUUUGCUGUGCAAACUUACUGUGUUCAUUAAUACUUGGUUGAUGGGUACUUUUGUUGAGAGCUGCAUAGUUGGGCUCUUGUUUCUCAGUACCUGGUUCUUGUAGGACCUGAGUGUGUGUUAUAUAACGUAUAUCCUGGCAAUACGGGGAAUAUGGACAUAAUAGUCAGUGUUUUUGUCAAUCCCUUUCUCCCUGUUGCACAAUGUUGCAUAACACCAGUGUUAUAAAUUUGGAUCCUGGGUC